GGAUCGUUGCUGGGUAAGUUAGCUUUAGCUCGUAGUAAGGUAAGUAUCUUCCUUCCUAUACAGGCCGUCUAGGGCCGAGGAUCGUUGCUGGGUAAGUUAGCUUUAGCUCGUAGUAAGGUAAGUAUCUUCCUUUCUAUACAGGUCUUCUAGGGCCGGGGAUCGUUGCUGGGUAAGUUAGCUUUAGCUCGUAGUAAGGUAAGUAUCUUCCUUUCUUUACAGGCCGUCUAGGGCCGGGGAUCGUUGCUGGGUAAGUUAGCUUUAGCUCGUGAUAAGGCGAGUAUCUUUUCAACUAGGCACGGGAGUAGAAUCGCAACUGAAACCCAUACAUCACCGUCACCAUCCAAUGCAGCAAGAGGCGAGGGACUUUGUCGGGCUCACGGCCGGGGCUGGCACAACAACGUCCUGCUGAAUAUUUUCCAAACGGCCAAUGACCGCACGUCCUCUUCCCUAGACAGGCGAAGAUCUAGACGAAAGACAGGAGUUGUCACACAUUAGUUUUCACACACAACGUAUGUAUGGGCGCCCAGGUUUCCUUGAUCACCCUCAACUACUCCUCUGCUGCUCGGCGGCUGAAAUAGUUACAGAACUCCUCACAGUACCUUACUUGCUGUUUCCCAUUGAGCUCCUGCUGAACACAGUUACAGGUUUAAUGUGUUUGGCUGGGCACGCACCGUCGUAGCAGCUCCCGAUGGCAUCCACAGGGGUUCAAUCCCUCAUGAGGUGAGUACAAACAACAAGGACACAGCACAACACUUCAAAAAGCUUUGUGUACUCACGUCAAAUAAAUCACUCACUCGUUGCACAGCACACACUCCAGUGAAUAGGUUAGGGUCCGUACUCCUCUCCUGGCGGCACUAUGCCUGAAUCGGGGGAGUAGAAUCGUACUUGGCGUUGUCGUGCACUGCCUGUCCAGUGUUAGCUCAAUACACGUCUUUCGGAUCGCCACACCUGGUGGGGCCGCUUAGAAACAGGUUAAACUCUCCUUUAACAAUGUAAGCAUUCAACAUUUAUCACUGAUUAGCUGUUACUCACGGCUGGCAAUUCUCUGAUCGAUCUCUCUCUUCUUAUUUCCUCCUCUCUCAGGACAUCCGCCGAUGUAAACAACGUCUUCGAUGCAGAGCACCCAGUCCUUCGUGCAGACAACAACAACAAAGGUGUCAAUGUGUUUGUUUCACUACAAGGCUCAUUCUUACUUGGCUUUAAACUCUGCUUUCUCUCUCUUCACAGAUCCCAGAACGUAUCAGAAACAACGUACUCUAGCCUCAAAACGACUCACAACCCAGCAGGUACUCACAGCGUACAUACAACGCGACCCGACUCCUCAAAAGUAACUUCUGCUCUCUCCCUUUAUAUCCCUCUCUUUAGCAUGGCUCGCCCAAUCCUCGUUCGCCACGUCGCUCACGCAGCUGUGCCUCAUUACAGUGAUUGCGGGGGAUUCCCGGGAAACCCGGAAGUGCCAGUGUCUGUGCAAACCGGUCCGGGCGGAACCUCUUCACUCUGCUUUUGGUUCCGCCCUGUCUAGUCACUCCGUGACACAAACACAAUGCUUUAUGACUGAUCUACACAGGAACAUGCAUGUCAUUUAAGUCGGUAGUAUUGAUUUUUGGCAGCUUGGGAUGUCCACAAAUUAACUAUUAGUGGGUUACAACUGUCAGGAAUAACCAAAGGAAAAUCUAAACAACUUGCAAUUUUCAACUUCAAUCAUGUAAUUGGAUUACUAUAAAAAUGUACAAAAAGUAUUUAAUUACUUGUUACUAAUUACUUUCUAAAUCCUAUUUAGUAAAACCUACAAAGAUUUAAACGGCUGGAAUAAAUCAUAUAAAAGUACAUCAGUUAUUCUGGUCACACGUUUCAAGAUCCAGUUUUCACUAUUAACUAACUAUUAACUACUUUUCCUCAAUAUAAUCCUAAUUACUGCUUAUUAAUACUUAGUAAAGUAGUUGUUAAGUUGAAGUAUUGGUAGGAUUAAGGAUGUAGAAUGUGAAGGUUUUGCAGAAUCAGAGAUUAAUAUGUGCUAAUAAACACCCAUUAUCUCAGUAAUAUUAAUGCUAUUAUUACCAACCAGUUAAGAGUGAGAAUUGUAAACUACACUAAUAGUUACCAUUACUCUUAUUAAAAGUGGGGUGCAUGAUUGUUUAAAAACACUUUGGAAAAGGCAGUCGGGCCGAGUACCAAAACACACUUGUAUCAGUCUACUAACCGACAUCAUUGCCUGGGUUGUUUAUGUGUGGGGCGGGUCUAUCAAAAGAAGGUCCAGAUUCUAUUGGGGUAGAGGCGUGUUUGUUUAGGUGAUUUCAAAUAUCAACAUUGGCUUUCAGAGAUCAUGCAUCCUGCCUUUAACAGAACCAAAGUAUUUAAAGUGAGAAGGAUUCAUGAAAAACAUGCAUUUGAACCUUAAUCUUUAAAUGUUGAUGUUAAAGAGCACCUAUUAUGGGAUACACGUUUUUAAACAUCCUUUUGUGUGUAAGUGUGUAUUAGUACAUGCUAACGAUAUUCAAAAAGUACAUACCUCAAAGAAAACGAUGACGCGAGUUAUCGUCUCUAACGUUCGAGGACUACAAAAAACACUCGGAUUGUAGGCAACAGUUUACUUCCUGGGAUUAGUGACGUAGAUAAGACCAACAUUAUCAUAGUUCAGCCCUCUCUGCUUUGCUUGGGUACGCCCUCAAAGACGGGGGUGGGGAGCGCCGAGUCAGAAGAGAGCUAAAAUGGCGGAGGUUGGUAGUCCCUGCAUUGACUCUGUUUGCAAACUCUUGUUUCAUCGUUUAAGCGAUUAAAUCUCUCGAGUAGACGCUGUCUCUUUAGAUGCGAGGGCAAAAUAGCACUUUAUAGACUUCCACAGAGGACAUCAUGUUUAAUACGGUUCCGGAAAAAUCCAGUCAGAAGUUGUUCACGGAGUUUUCACAAUAACUGCUUCUCAUGAACCGAAGCUGGACGUCUCCUCCUGAAAGUUGGAUUACUGUGCACUUCUGGAUCACAGGCUGUAAGUAUUCACGUUUAUUAUUUGCCUUUUACUGUACAUUACGUAACCGGUAACCGGAGAUUAACAUAAUGUGCGUGUAGAGCUAAGCUUGCAAGCGAACUGUUUUGUGUUGUAAUACUGUAUUUCAUAAACAACGUACCAUAUUUACACACGUGUAUGUUGAAUUAUGCAGACUAUCGUUUUUUUUUAUCGAUGUUGGUUAAGACAUGUUUACAAACUUGCUAAGUUACCAGCUAAACUGUUACCGGUAAAAUUUGUUCUCAUGAUGAAACUCAAGAAACUCUACAGAUGAUUUGUUUAAAGUUAUAUGUAUUUUACUGUUGUAUUUACUUGAAGCUUUCUUAGAUUUUGAAACGAAGUAAACACGUAAUGUGUGUUGCUAAUGUUGGGCCAUGUAAUAUGUAAUACAUUAACGUUUUAAUGAAUAGUCUAACGAUUUAUAGUCAUGGUACUCUAUUGUUAUAAUAUGUCUUUUUGACUGAAUACAUGUUUGUUUUAUUUGUCUAUAUCUUAGAUUCGCAGCUGGACACAUCCUUCUACACUGUAUGCAAACAUGCAACAUCAUAACACACAGUACAAGGAGUCAGACUGGCAUAUGAGGAGCAAAGGAACCCAGGCAGUAGCAUCGUUUCACAAUGUUUCCAUCACCAUCAUCAGUGGAUGCCUUUGCUGUCCGUAGCCUGAGAUUUCAGAUUUGCAGCAAAAAAUUUUUGAUUUUCUCAUUUAUUGGAAUGCUGUGCAGGUAUUUGUACCUUGCAGCCAUCCAUUACAAUGUCACCAAGCCGUAACAAAAGCAGGAGAGGGAAAGUACAAGGCUAUGUUCCCAAAACACACAAGUGACAUACCUUAUGUGGAUGAUGUGAUCAGGCUUGUGUUUGCUGAGGUAUUUGAAGAUAAGCUGAAGGAAACCCCGAUUCCAAUGGACCUGGCAUCACAGUUUGAGAGACCUUCAAAGGAGGACGUGAUUGCAUGCCAUCUUCAGUGCAGGGGUCGUCGGAAGCCAACAUUCCGAUCAGGAAGCUCCAAGCAUAUCUGGAGAACAACACACGACAGGAUGAUAACCCUAAAGUGUCAUCUUAGAUAGCAUCAGCUGACAAAGCUUUGAUAUGCCAUUUAUCUGAAUAGAUAGCUGUAAGAAGUGAAUUGAACAAUUUUUGAAAGAAGAGCACAAUAUGGUUACUAAAGUAUGUUUAUUUGUAUAUUGUUUAACAUUUAAAUAUAUAUUUGUAAUAAAUAAACUUUUGACUGACUACUAUA